AAAGGUGCAUGAGUGGUGUUUGGUUUGUUAUGGGUGGUUGGCUCUAUGCUUGUGCAACAACUUCCACCUGGCUUACCUCUUCAUUUGUCUGUAUGGGCAUGUGUAUCCUAUAUGGAUUGGGGGUUUUCUGUGUUGCCUACCUGACAAAAGGUAUUGUCUUGAUUAAGUUGGACAAUUUUUCAUCUUGUGUUGUGUCAAUGGCAUAAGAUGAACCUUAAAGCUCUCUCUUUGAUUCAUGAUGUCAUUGUCUUCUUUGAUGUUGUGGCUCAUAAAAGAUUGCUUGGACCCUGGAUACGGAACUGAAUGUGGGCAUGGGAUCUGUUGGGAUUCCUGUUGUGCUCUCUUUUAGCGUUCACGCGUCUCUUAAUAUGACUGCCUAGCCCGUAUGGCUUGUCCCAGCGGGUGGGUUUUGUCUAAAGAGGAAUGCUACCUGGUUGAUCCUGCCAGUAGUCAUAU
rnacentral:misc_RNA from 1 species